rnacentral:rRNA from 1 species
UACGAAGGGGGCUAGCGUUGUUCGGAAUACUGGGCGUAAAGCGUGCGCAGGCGGCUUCUCAAGUCAGGGGUGAAAGCCCCAGAGCUCAACUCUGGAAUUGCCUUUGAGACUGAGUGGCUUGAGUACGAGAGAGGUGAGUGGAAUUCCCAGUGUAGAGGUGAAAUUCGUAGAUAUUGGGGAAGAACACCGGUGGCGAAGGCGGGUCUCUGGGCCGAUACUGACACUGAGGAGCGAAAAGCGUGGGGGAGC